rnacentral:rRNA from 1 species
AUUGAACGCUGGCGGCAUGCCUUACACAUGCAAGUCGAACGGCAGCACGGGAGCAAUCCUGGUGGCGAGUGGCGAACGGGUGAGUAAAGUAUCGGAACGUGCCCAGUCGUGGGGGAUAACGUAGCGAAAGUUACGCUAAUACCGCAUACGAUCUAUGGAUGAAAGCGGGGGAUCGCAAGACCUCGCGCGAUUGGAGCGGCCGAUAUCAGAUUAGGUAGUUGGUGGGGUAAAGGCUCACCAAGCCGACGAUCUGUAGCUGGUCUGAGAGGACGACCAGCCACACUGGGACUGAGACGCGGCCCAGACUCCUACGGGAGGCAGCAGUGGGGAAUUUUGGACAAUGGGCGAAAGCCUGAUCCAGCCAUGCCGCGUGCAGGAUGAAGGCCUUCGGGUUGUAGACUGCUUUUGUACGGAACGAAAAGGUUUGGCCUAAUAAGCUGAGCUCAUGACGGUACCGUAAGAAUAAGCACCGGCUAACUACGUGCCAGCCGCCGCGGUAA